rnacentral:rRNA from 1 species
UCCGGAUUUAUUAGGUUUAAAGGGUGUUCAGGCUGUCUGGUAAGUCAGAGGUGAAAGUCGGUUGCUUAACGAUCGAAUUGCCUUUGAAACUGUCAGACUUGAGUAUGGAUGCGGUAGGCGGAAUGUGUAGUGUAGCGGUGAAAUGCAUAGAUAUUACACAGAACACCGAUUGCGAAAGCAGCUUACCAAACCAGCACUGACGCUGAAGCACGAAAGCGUGGGUAGCGAACAGGAUUAGAUACCCUGGUAGUCCACGCAGUAAACGAUGCUCACUCGCUGUUGGCAAUAGAUCGUCAGCGGCUAAGGGAAACCGAUAAGUGAGCCACCUGGGGAGUACGAUCGCAAGAUUGAAACUCAAAGGAAUUGACGGGGGCCCGCACAAGCGGUGGAACAUGUGGUUUAAUUCGAUGAUACGCGAGGAACCUUACCUGGGCUUAAAUGUACGAUGCAUAAGUGUGAAAGCACUUUUUCCUUCGGGACUUUGUACAAGGUGCUGCAUGGUUGUCGUCAGCUCGUGCCGUGAGGUGUCGGGUUAAGUCCCAUAACGAGCGCAACCCCUAUUGUUAGUUACCAGCGCGUAAAGGCGGGGACUCUAGCGAAACUGCCGGUGUAAACCGCGAGGAAGGUGGGGAUGACGUCAAAUCAGCACGGCCCUUAUGUCCAGGGCUACACACGUGUUACAAUGGCCGGUACAGCGGGCAGCGAGGCAGCGAUGCCGAGCGAAUCUCGAAAGCCGGUCCCAGUUCGGAUUGGAGUCUGCAACCCGACUCCAUGAAGGUGGAAUCGCUAGUAAUCGCGCAUCAGCCAUGGCGCGGUGAUACGUUCCCGGGCCUUGUACACACCGCCCGUCAAGCCAUGGAAGUCUGGGGUGCCUGAAGGCCGUAACCGCGAGGAGCGGUCUAGGGUAAACAGAUGACUGGGGCUAAGUCGUA